GCUCCAGGGAAUCCCCACACUUUCUGGUCUCCUUGGACCACUACGCUCAUGUACGCAUACACAAUUUAAAAUAAAUCUUAAAACACAGAAAACAUAAGAAAUGAGCCAGGCAUAUCAGUACACACUUAUAGCCCAGACCACACAGGAGGCUGAGGCAGGAGAACUGUUUGAGCCCAUGGGGUUGAGACCACCUGAGCGUCAUGUUGAGACCAAUUCACCAAAAUGAAAAUACAAGAAAUGCCAGAGAAACAACUAGUAAUUGAAUUGACUUCCCAGUUGUUUGGGAUUCGGCAAGAUUAGUGGCGGUGUGGGGGACCUAGCCACUGGAAGGAAUUGGAAAUGGGAGAAGAACUGAUAAAACUUUACAUUGGAAUGUGAUGCUAGGAGGCUCUCUUGGCUCUCAUAACUCCAGCUGUUACGUUGUCAUUUCCUUAGUUCUGGUCCCACACCUCUGACUUGACCUUCCCACUUGUUUUUUUGUUUGUUAUUUUUGGUUUUUUUAGAUUUUUUAUUUAUUAUAUGUAAGUAUACCGAAGCUGUCUUCUGACAUACCAGAAGGGGGCAUCAGAUCUCAUUACAGAUGGUUGUGAGCCACCCUGUGGUUGCAGGAAUUUGAACUCAGGACCUUAAGAAGAGCAGUCAGUGCUCUUAACCGCUGAGCCAUCCCACCAGAUCGACCUUCCCAUUUUGAAACUCGAGCUUCCUGGCUAGUUCUCACAUGUUCAGGGAGGUGCUAGGUGAAGCAUUUUCCCAUCUGUCUCACUGCUAAGCCCUUUGCCGUCCAUUCUCCUUAGCAAUUACCACUUCCUGUUGCUUGAGUACCACUCACCCUGCCCUUGUUUAUUCCUUUCUGCCCUGCCUCGGUUCCUCCCCCAUGAUCUGAUCCAGUCUGUGGGCACUGUGUUCCUUUGAGGGUGUAUGCCUCUCACUUCAGGAGUACACUGUGACUGAAGCAGAUGGCUUGUUUUCAUUCGACCUCUGCCCUGCACGCCAGCUCAGCUCAGGCUUUGGAUGCAGCUAGUGAUGAACAUGAGCAUCUCCACGCCAUCGUCCAUGGUGUCCUUGCUGUAUUGCCUCUUUCUCUUCUCUGUGCUUGUCUGAAGCUCGUCGUCUUUAGACAUGAUGUUGUCCUGCCUCUGGUCCUUUACAGUGUUUUGGAUUUGGGGUAUAGUCUCAAGAUUGCUGGCGAGUUGUGGACUCCUCUGCUGCAGGAGCCUCGUUUUAUAGACACUGUGCUCUGUUUCUCCCGCAGCAUGAAGCAGCGUCUAUUAAGUGCUGGGUAUAGCCAUGCGCUGGAAGCUGAGGCGUGGUAUCUUAGAUUAGUGUUGUUGUGAGCAGAGCGUAUGAAUCAUUAAAGUGAUUUGUACUUUCCUGUUAUUUAGUAAGUACAUUCUCUAUUGGCCUUGCCAAAUUUGAAUCUGAACACUUCCUCUCACCCGGGCUCCAUCUAAGCAGCACGAGUACCCUUCAGUGUUAAUUCUGCCUUCUUAUUUCUGUAUGCCUGCAGACUCCUCCUGUGUUCUCUUUAUUGGCUGGACUGUUGACAUUUGUCACUUUACCUAGGGAGUCAUAGGUUUUGAGAGCCUCGGCUUUCUUGAUUGCUUGUGUAUUUUUCUGGGGACUUGCAGAGGCUCUCCGGCAUAGUGCUUUAGUGUUUAUCACAUUCAGCUAACCGCUCAUCACAUGCGGGAGACUCCAUUCCGUCGUCUGCUGUCGCUCUUCUUAUGACAGUGUUCUAACACUGUUGAGCUUCAAGGGAUGAUCUAAUUGUAGCUGGCCCCGUGGACUCGCCCUUCCUUAGGGUGCUCUUUGAGCUAGGAAGGCGGUGCAAGCCAUUUUCUGCCUGUCUGUACCUUCAUCACCUUUUUCUGAUGCUGGAACUGAACAAUACCAGGGCCUGUGGUAUUGUUGUAAAGUAUGGUCUGGAUAUAGAAAACGCUUUUUAAUCAAGGAAUGUUAUUGAGUCUAAAAGGAUCAAGGCUUACCACAGAUUGUGAAGACAGUCCUCCGAUUGACUGUAAGCCUCACUCAGGACUCUCCCUGUCUCAGCUCUCCUCAGACCCCAUCUCUGCAUCCACAUGGCUCUUAGCAUGUAGACGUGACACCGUUGCUUAUGCUGGUCACUGCCUGGAGUGCAGAAAAGAAUUUCCUCAAUGAACAUCUGCUGUGUCAGAUUUCCAGCUAGACCCAGCUACAGAGGUAAAGAGCAAUCUUUGGUGACCUUUCAGAACUCUGCCUUGGUGGGCGGGGCAUGUCUCAGCCUGUCCCACUGAGGAGCCUAGUGUGAUGGUGGGCGGGGCAUGUCUCAGCCUGUCCCACGGAGGAGCCUAGUGUGAUCACAAACGAUGCUAGGGAGGGGCUUGCAAUGGAGUCCUGCCUACACUUGAUGAAUUCGGGUGAUGCUUCCUGCUUCAGACUGCCCAGUGCUUUGUCCUUGUUCUCUCUAACAUUGCCUCUGUGUCCCUCUUACCACUAGACUGAGGGUUGAUUCCUUCAGGCAGUGGAACAGGACUGGUUUUGGAUUCAUCUUUGGGUAUCUUCUAGUGCCUGAUACAGUAUUUUAUUUAUUUUAAAAUUUAUUUAAAUACUUGUCUUAUUCUGUACAGAUAAAGCUAGUAUUAUGUGAUAAAAUAUAAAAUUGUAACUGAAGAAAUUAUUGUUGAAGUGGAAAUGGAUAAAACCAGAUCUGAAAUCAGUUGCCUUUUUAAUCAAGGAAUGUUAUUGAGUCUAAAAGGAUCAAGGCUUACCACAGAUUGUGAAGACAGUCCUCCGAUUGACUGUAAGCCUCACUCAGGACUCUCCCUGUCUCAGCUCUCCUCAGACCCCAUCUCUGCAUCCUAAGAUGAUGAAAGAUUCUGUUGUCUCCUGGAAGAAAUCUCUAUCUUUUGACUCUUGGUUUUCUAGACUAUAGUACAAAGAAGGAAACUGCUAUUUCUGGGCUUUAUAGAUUGGGCAUAAAACGUAAUAAAAAGAAAUUUGGGCGGGCUGGCGAGGUGGCUCAGUGGUUAAGAGCACCGACUGCUCUUCCGAAGGUCCCGAGUUCAAAUCCCAGUAACCACAUGGUGGCUCACAACCAUCCGUAACGAAAUCUGAUGCCCUCUUCUGGAGUAUCUGAGGAUAGCUACAGUGUACUUACAUAUAAUAAAUAAAUAAAUAAAUCUUUAUUUU
rnacentral:lncRNA from 1 species